GUGGGGAAUAUUGGACAAUGGGCGAAAGCCUGAUCCAGCAAUGCCGCGUGCAGGAAGAAGGCCUUCGGGUUGUAAACUGCUUUUGUACGGAACGAAACGGUCCGGGUUAAUACCCUGGGCUAAUGACGGUACCGUAAGAAUAAGCACCGGCUAACUACGUGCCAGCAGCCGCGGUAAUACGUAGGGUGCAAGCGUUAAUCGGAAUUACUGGGCGUAAAGCGUGCGCAGGCGGUUUUGUAAGACAGGCGUGAAAUCCCCGGGCUCAACCUGGGAAUUGCGCUUGUGACUGCAAGGCUGGAGUGCGGCAGAGGGGGAUGGAAUUCCGCGUGUAGCAGUGAAAUGCGUAGAUAUGCGGAGGAACACCGAUGGCGAAGGCAAUCCCCUGGGCCUGCACUGACGCUCAUGCACGAAAGCGUGGGGAGCAAACAGGAUUAGAUACCCUAGUAGUCC
rnacentral:rRNA from 1 species